GAAACUUUCUAGAGGAUAUUGAGAAUGACCUAGUGAAGCCUCAUUCAUCUCUCAUUUCUGCACUACAAGGACGCUGCCCAGCUUUUGCUCUUUAAUCUGUUUUAGAAGUGCUUGGACUAUCUUUUUUUCUCUUAUCAAAAAGUUUAAGUUAGAGUGUGGGUUAGAAUCUUUUUUAAAAAGCUGACAUUUCUUCCCUUAGAAAACUGCCAUUCUUCUUUACACAGAUGUACCUGCUUACAGAGAUAUACUAUUUUUAUUCACUUUUUCAUCUUUACCCUGCAGAUACAUAAAAUGUAGAUAACCAAUAAAAUCUGCAGGGUAAUGUUAUGAAGUCAGUUCUAAAAUGAGUGAACAGAAGGAGAAGGACAUGUUUAUUACUCGGAUUUUAUUAUACUAUGUAUUGCAAAUAGCUUUGCCCAAGUUGGGAAGGGAACACGGCAGGUCUUGAUGCUGCUGCUAACCUAGUUGUUACUUUGUCUCUAGAUUCCUGGGUAUGGCAUCUCCAUACCAAUCUGAAAACAUAAGAGAGCUCGAAGAAAAGCAUAGACUCAGAUGCAAUAAUCACUUGGGGUAAAUAUUCUAAACAUUUUUUUUGAACCAGCCAUUGUUUAAUCACCAUGAAAUAUGGUCACUUAUCUCCAAAGGGAAAUAUUUAGAAUACAAACCUCUCUUGCUGUCACCUGGCAUACAAGGAAAUGCAGUGAUGUUUCCAUUCAAGAAGUGCCUAGAUCAAGCCUUUCCUGAACAACAGGAAAUGGAAUCUUGACACCCUGUUACACCUUAGACCAUCACACUCUCUUGCAACUCUGAAGAGGAAAAGGAAGAUUUAAACUUUAAGACAUUUAUUUAUAGCAUUUGAAUUAUAAAUGUGAGUUAUUUAAAAAGACAUUUUUAAAAAUGUACAGAAAAGAAAAGUAACUAAGUAAAAUAACAAAAUCUCCUUAACCUCAUGACUCUUGCCUUAAACAAACAAUAAAUACAGUUUUAAUGGAAGCCUGGCUCAAUUGAAUUGUAUGUUUACAGUUCUCUGAGUGAACAGCCUUGGGUAGCCACCAUCCAGAGCAGUGGAGACAUCACCAGUCCCAGAAGUCCCUGAUGUCCCUUCCAGUCACGACUCUGUCCCCUCGCCUAGGACAUACAUGUAGAUCAACAUGGAAGGAGUAGCCCUUGACCAUCAGUGUAUGACUCCAUUGCAUAGUGCUUGCUGCAGAAUUGCCUUGCCUGUCAGAUGACACAGCCAGUGCUGAGAUAGUGGCUGGCUGUGUGGAGUGGGCACAGCGCUUGCUCUCAUGAGCCGGUCCCUGGAUCUACAUCAAGAUGGUGCCUGGAUCUGUGGAUGGACUCUGGUCCUACCUUGGCCCCUGCUGCACUGAAGCUCCUGGCAUUUCCAGGGAGCCUUGCCCCUGUGUGUUAUUGGCCUGUUUUUCUGAUGUCUGCAGCCUGACAAACAUGUCACCUGGUCUUUCUCAGCUGGGUGGCUCCUCUUUGUUGAUUCAAUGCCUCCUGGUCUUGCACCCACUCCCCGACUCAGAUACUCUGCUUGGGCUCUUCCAGGAGAUCAGUGUGCUCUGCCAGGUCCCAGGGCAGACCUGCUGGCUCUCAGCUUGGCACUGAGGAAUGCUCUGGAGUAAACACUAGCCCUCCCCACCUGCUACAUGCUCAGCCCUCUCCCCUCUGCCGUGUUGCCUCAUGUCUCAGUCAUUUCUGAUUCCUCGUUACCUAGCAGAAUGUCUGGCACUUUUGCUCAGUAAGAUGCUUUUGAAAUUGAACUGGAUUGUGAAUUCCUUUCAGUGAGUGGUCCAUGCUUUAUUUGGCAAAUAGAUGCCAAUGACUACUAUUUUCUCGAAAUUUUAUAAAGUUAAUUAUUGAUACACCCAAAGCAGAGGGAUCUUCUGAUCCCCAAAGCCUGGCUUUCAGUGUUGUUUUAACCCUUCUAAAAUCUCAAGUUUCUCUAAUAAAAACCACGAUAGUCUGAAAUGCUGGAAUUUGGAAUUUAUGCCUUCCUAGAGUGCUGAUACCGAAAUUUUAAGGAAUGUAGGGAAAAAAAGGAAAUAAAAAGUCCCCCAG
rnacentral:lncRNA from 1 species